rnacentral:tRNA from 1 species
UGCCCGAUGGUGUAAUUGGCAACACGUCUGACUCUGGAUCAGAAGAGCCCAGGUUCGAACCCUGGUCGGGCAACCA